AGAAGAUUGUUUUCUCACAUCUUUGGCUUUCAGUGAUGUUUGUGAGCUUCUUGGGAGUCAAUCCAAAAUUCUCUUGAGAGCCUGCUGUGUGCACAGCCCUGUCCUAGAUCAUGGAAUGAGAAGGAAUCGUAGAGGUCAUUUUCUCCUGCCUUCCACCCAAUAAAGAAUCCUCUUUGCAAAUCCCUGAACAUGGAGCCUUGGGAUGAAGACUCAAGGGACAGGAAGUUCAUUAGCCUCACGAGCAGGUGGCAACCACUUAAAGAGGAGCUGUGGCGUUCCUACCGCCCUGCUCUCACUUUCUCCAGCAACACAUCCUCUGCUCCUGUAUCUGCUUCUCACGGCCCAGGGUUUCUAGGGCCUCCUCGGCCCCAGUCGUGCCCUCUUGCCAUCCUAUUGCCUGAUGCAAGUGAGGACUCCGGAGUCGAGCCCGGCCUGCCAGGUGCCAUCAGGGUGGAGUAUACGUAUGCCUUCCUGGAUCUGUACAACAUACAUUCGUUAAUGCAACCUCAAAUUGCAUUCGAAUUGCAAGACCACGUGGCUCUGAGCUUCAGGGAAAUCGAAGCUGCUUGUUAAGGCGGGUUCCACUCAAUCUUACUUGUUGCUGCUAACUGGUGGGAGAAUGCUUCUUAGGAUUUUGGAGGAUCGUGGACCUCACGGAGAACGUGAUCAAAGCUUUAGGCCUGGGAUC